CCUACGGGGGGCUGCAGUGGGGAAUAUUGGACAAUGGGCGAAAGCCUGAUCCAGCAAUGCCGCGUGAGUGAUGAAGGCCCUAGGGUUGUAAAGCUCUUUUACCCGGGAUGAUAAUGACAGUACCGGGAGAAUAAGCUCCGGCUAACUCCGUGCCAGCAGCCGCGGUAAUACGGAGGGAGCUAGCGUUGUUCGGAAUUACUGGGCGUAAAGCGCACGUAGGCGGCUAUUCAAGUCAGGGGUGAAAUCCCGGGGCUCAACCUCGGAACUGCCCUUGAAACUGGAUGGCUAGAAUCCUGGAGAGGCGAGUGGAAUUCCGAGUGUAGAGGUGAAAUUCGUAGAUAUUCGGAAGAACACCAGUGGCGAAGGCGACUCGCUGGACAGGUAUUGACGCUGAGGUGCGAAAGCGUGGGGAGCAAACAGGAUUAGAUACCCUAGUAGUC
rnacentral:rRNA from 1 species